rnacentral:rRNA from 1 species
GACGAACGCUGGCGGCGUGCUUAACACAUGCAAGUCGAACGGUGAAGCGCCUUCCUUUUUGGUGGGUGUGGAUGAGUGGCGAACGGGUGAGUAACACGUGAGUAACCUGCCCCCUUCUUCUGGAUAACCGCAUGAAAGUGUGGCUAAUACGGGAUAUUCUGGGUCUGUCGCAUGAUGGGUCUGGGAAAGAUAUUGUUUCGGUGGGGGAUGGGCUCGCGGCCUAUCAGCUUGUUGGUGGGGUGAUGGCCUACCAAGGCGGUGACGGGUAGCCGGCCUGAGAGGGUGGACGGUCACACUGGGACUGAGACACGGCCCAGACUCCUACGGGAGGCAGCAGUGGGGAAUAUUGCACAAUGGGCGCAAGCCUGAUGCAGCGACGCUGCGUGAGGGAUGGAGGCCUUCGGGUUGUGAACCUCUUUCGCCAGUGAAGCAGGCCUGCCUCGUUUGUGGGUGGGUUGACGGUAGCUGGAUAAGAAGCGCCGGCUAACUACGUG